rnacentral:rRNA from 1 species
ACUCCUACGGGAGGCAGCAGUGGGGAAUAUUGGACAAUGGGGGAAACCCUGAUCCAGCAAUGCCGCGUGUGUGAAGAAGGCCUGCGGGUUGUAAAGCACUUUCAGUAAGGAGGAAAAGCUCAGGGCUAAUACCUCUGAGUCUUGACGUUACUUACAGAAGAAGCACCGGCUAACUCCGUGCCAGCAGCCGCGGUAAUACGGAGGGUGCGAGCGUUAAUCGGAAUUACUGGGCGUAAAGCGCGCGUAGGCGGUUCGUUAAGUUAGCUGUGAAAGCCCCGGGCUUAACCUGGGAAUUGCAGUUAAUACUGGCGAACUAGAGUUUGGGAGAGGAAAGUGGAAUUCCGGGUGUAGCGGUGAAAUGCGUAGAUAUCCGGAGGAACACCAGUGGCGAAGGCGACUUUCUGGCCCAAAACUGACGCUGAGGUGCGAAAGCGUGGGGAGCAAACAGGAUUAGAAACCCUAGUAGUCC